rnacentral:lncRNA from 1 species
GUGUGUUUCUGGUCGACAUUUUCACCAGACAAGAAAAGAUUCUUCUCUUGAACCCUAAAUUACAAAGAAAUGCUCAAAUCGAAGGGGAAAUCAAGCUAAAAAUUGGGGAUUUUAUUAAAUUCGUGAUCACCAAGUCAUGAGGAUCACAAGUUUGACUCUUGACGAGCUAGGUGAAGCUUGGAGGAGAUGAUCAAACGGGAUAAAGACACAAGUAAGAUUUGCUUGGAUGAAAGGUAAGUAAAGCUUACACCUAUUUUUUUAGCAUACGUAUUUAUUCUAUAGGUGAUAAAUACAACAAUAGAUCAUGUUCGAAUUAUGGGUUCCGACACGAAACGAAAUGGGUUGGAACGAAUAAAAAUGUUUAAAAUCAUGAUUAAUGGUGAAAGAGGUAAAAUGGUAAUUUAGUCAUAAAUCGACUAAGAAUUUAUGAGUUUUCUUAAAGUUACCUCAUAGCUUAACUAAUAAUGGAAAAAGGGGUAAAAUGGUAAUUUAGUCACGUGAUGACUUAUUGUAAUCGAGAUUAAAAGGAUAUCCACGGCGUAAGCCGAACUGGGUCAAAUAUGUAAGAAAAAAAGGAUAUUUUUGUGGUAAAAUCCGUAAUGGGUCGGAUGCGUGAUUGAGUAAUUAGAAACCAUGAUUUGUAAUAAAUAUAAUUGUUUGGUCGUAUAGACCAAAUGGGUCAAAUGAUGGUGAUAACAUCAUAUGACCAUAUCGACUAAUGUUGGUUGUUAAGUCAUAUGUUUACAGGAACGAAUAGCAAUUUGGAUAAUUGUGUCGUCAUAGAAUAUUGAAUUAAUAAUAGCAAGGGAUAAACGGGUCUAUACGUUGACUCGAGCCAGGUACGCUUAUAUAUAGAUUUAUAGUUAAAAGUGUUUAACUUCCCUUAACGGGUCAAAAUGAGUAGAUAGGUAAAACGGGUUAAGAAUUCAUAAGAAACCCGUAAUUUGAACCUUGCAUAUUAAUAAAUUGAUAUAACGUGAUAUGCAUGAUAUUUUGAAAAGGUAAUAAACAAGUUUGUUUGAUAAAUCACGAACGGGUCAAAAAGUGUCAUAAUUGAAUUUCAAGCCGAGAGCUUGAAAGUUAAAAUUUUGUGAAUUUAGAUGUCGGGUUUUCACUCCGUAAGAUGGAGAAUUAAAUUACGAACGCAUAGGAAAAAGAAUCGCGAAGAACGGACUUGUAGAAUGAAAGUUAUGCCAAUUUAAAGUUCGAAAUUUGUUAAAAUUGGAGCUGGACAGAAAAUGCAGGUUCAGAUAUAAACAUGCUGGAAACUGGUCUCCCCCGCGGCACGCGAAGGGGAAAUAAGGUCCGGGCGCGACACGCGAUAGGCGUCGCGGCACACGACACAUCUACUUGAGUCUCUUGCGACCCGCGAGAGACAUAAAGGCUGGAAAAAUUAUUUUUGGUUAAUUGCUUGUUGCGUAGAACUUGUUUAAACUUAUAUUUAAGUUAUCAAAACUACCUUUUAGGUUGGUUUUGAUCAUAGGUGAAUAUCGAAAGUACCCGGAUGAAGAUCAAGCGAUGAGAAAGAACCGAACACAUGAAGAAGAAGCUUCCACACGUUGUUUCGUCGAAAUUUUUUAAACGACAAACUAAACUACAUUAUGUUGUUCUAAAUUUUAAAUUGUAAAAGUUUUAAUAAACCCGUGCUUUGUAAUGUAUAUGUGCUCUUAAUCACAUGUUUAUU